UACGUAGGGGGCAAGCGUUGUCCGGAUUUACUGGGCGUAAAGAGCGCGUAGGCGGAAGUUUAAGCGGUGCUUGAAAGCCCCCGGCUCAACCGGGGAGGGUGGUGCCGAACUGGACUUCUUGAGGGCGAUAGAGGAGAGUGGAAUUCCCGGUGUAGCAGUGAAAUGCGUAGAGAUCGGGAGGAACAUCAGUUGCGGAAGGCGGCUCUCUGGACCAGCACUGACACUGAGGCACGAAAGCGUGGGGAGCAAACAGG
rnacentral:rRNA from 1 species